CAGUCGCCGCGGUAAUACAGAGGGUGCGAGCGUUAAUCGGAUUUACUGGGCGUAAAGCGUGCGUAGGCGGCUUCUUAAGUCGGAUGUGAAAUCCCUGAGCUUAACUUAGGAAUUGCAUUCGAUACUGGGAAGCUAGAGUAUGGGAGAGGAUGGUAGAAUUCCAGGUGUAGCGGUGAAAUGCGUAGAGAUCUGGAGGAAUACCGAUGGCGAAGGCAGCCAUCUGGCCUAAUACUGACGCUGAGGUACGAAAGCAUGGUGAGCAAACAGGAUUAGAUACCCGAGUAGUCCCUGUCUCUUAUAC
rnacentral:rRNA from 1 species